GCAUAUCAAUAAGCGGAGGAAAAGAAACUAACAAGGAUUCCCCUAGUAACUGCGAGUGAAGCGGGAAGAGCUCAAAUUUAAAAUCUGGCAGCUUUGGCUGUCCGAGUUGUAGUCUGGAGAAGUGCUUUCCGCGCUGGACCGUGUACAAGUCUCUUGGAAUAGAGCGUCAUAGAGGGUGAGAAUCCCGUCUUUGACACGGACUACCAGUGCUUUGUGUAGCGCUCUCAAAGAGUCGAGUUGUUUGGGAAUGCAGCUCAAAAUGGGUGGUGAAUUCCAUCUAAAGCUAAAUAUUGGCGAGAGACCGAUAGCGAACAAGUACCGUGAGGGAAAGAUGAAAAGCACUUUGGAAAGAGAGUUAAACAGUACGUGAAAUUGCUGAAAGGGAAACGCUUGAAGUCAGUCGCGUUGUUUAGAACUCAGCCUUGCUUUUGCUUGGUUCAUUUUCUAUUCAACGGGCCAGCAUCAAUUUUGACCGCUGGAAAAAGGUUGAGGGAAUGUGGCACCCUCGGGUGUGUUAUAGCCUUCAGCCGCAUACAGCGGUUGGGAUUGAGGUCUGCAGCGCGCCGCAAGGCAGGGGUUCGCCCACUUUCGCGCUUAGGAUGCUGGCAUAAUGGCUUUAAACGACCCGUCUUGAAACACGGACCAAGGAGUCUAACUUACCUGCGAGUGUUUGGGUGGAAAACCCGAGCGCGUAAUGAAAGUGAAAGUUGGGAUCUCUGUCGUGGAGAGCACCGACGCCCGGACCUGAAGUUUACGGAAGGAUCCGCGGUAGAGCAUGUAGGUUGGGACCCGAAAGAUGGUGAACUAUGCCUGAAUAGGGUGAAGCCAGAGGAAACUCUGGUGGAGGCUCGUAGCGAUUCUGACGUGCAAAUCGAUCGUCAAAUUUGGGUAUAGGGGCGAAAGACUAAUCGAACCAUCUAGUAGCUGGUUCCUGCCG
rnacentral:rRNA from 1 species